rnacentral:rRNA from 1 species
GUGGGGAAUAUUGCACAAUGGGGGAAACCCUGAUGCAGCAACGCCGCGUGAAGGAAGAAGUAUUUCGGUACGUAAAGCUCUAUCAGCAAGGAAGAAAAUGACGGUACUUGACUAAGAAGCCCCGGCUAACUACGUGCCAGCAGCCGCGGUAAUACGUAGGGGGCAAGCGUUAUCCGGAUUUACUGGGUGUAAAGGGAGCGUAGACGGUAUGGUAAGUCAGAUGUGAAAGCCCGGGGCUCAACCCCGGGACUGCAUUUGAAACUAUCAGACUAGAGUGCAGGAGAGGUAAGUGGAAUUCCUAGUGUAGCGGUGAAAUGCGUAGAUAUUAGGAGGAACACCAGUGGCGAAGGCGGCUUACUGGACUGUAACUGACGUUGAGGCUCGAAAGCGUGGGGAGCAAACAGGAUUAGAAACCCCAGUAGUCC